rnacentral:rRNA from 1 species
GUGGGGAAUAUUCCGCAAUGGACGAAAGUCUGACGGAGCAACGCCGCGUGAGUGAUGAAGGUUUUCGGACUGUAAAGCUCUGUUGUUUAGGACGAAAGUGCCUGUUGCAAAUAGUUACAGGUAUUGACGGUACUGAACGAGGAAGCCACGGCUAACUACGUGCCAGCAGCCGCGGUAAUACGUAGGUGGCAAGCGUUGUCCGGAAUUAUUGGGCGUAAAGAGCAUGUAGGCGGGAAUCUAAGUCUGUUGUGAAAAUGCGGGGGUCAACCCCGUAUUGCGAUGGAAACUGGGUUUCUUGAGUGCAGGAGAGGAAAGGGGAAUUCCCAGUGUAGCGGUGAAAUGCGUAGAUAUCGGGAGGAACACCAGUGGCGAAGGCGGCUUCCUGGCACAAUACUGACGCUCAUGUGCGAAAGCUAGGGCAGCGAACGGGAUUAGAUACCCUGGUAGUCC